rnacentral:lncRNA from 1 species
AUAUUAAAGUGAGCCUCCCAAAGGAAAACGUGGAUCUACUUACCAACGCAGAAAAUGAUACACACGGAUUCGAUUUAGGCACGCUACAUUCAAAUGACUUGGAAGAGCAGGUUCUCUGAGCCAGGAUACUAAAGUCCCUGUUUAGGAAAGAGCCACGUUGUAUGUUUACCCUACCACAAAGAUACAGUCAUGUGCCUGGGAAAGAUUGAUGCCAGCUCCAGAAAGGCAUCCGAAUGGUCUAAGUAAUGCCAUCCAUCUGUCAGUAAUAGAUUCAGAAAUGGUGCUGGCAGAGGAAACAGCAGCAAUGAUGCUCUGCGAGCCUGACUCAGGGCCAGCAGUGAUGGCAGCCCAAGAAUUCUGGAGGAAAGUGGCUCUGGGAAUUGAACAGUGGCUCAGUGAUGUUGGGGCCACCAAGUCUGCAAUUCUCCCUACCUGUUCUUCAUGGUUGUAAGAUGACUGCUGCAAUUCUCGGCAUCAUGUGCAUGUUAAUGUCAGGAGGAAGAAAGGAAGAGGGAGCACUGGGAUGUUACAUUCAUUUUGUCAGGAAAAGCAAAGCCUUUCCAGACAGCUCCGAAACUUGCUUACCUCUCAUUGGCCAGCACCAUCACUUGACCACUUGUCCACUCCUAGCUGCAAGGAAAGUGGCAAAGUAGAAGGUAUUUGAGAAUGUCUGCUGGGUUAGCCAAAACAAUAGUGACUUCUACACCCAAUUUUCUGGGCACUGCAGAAGUAUCCUUGAGUCCUAUGUGAUCAGAGGGAGAGCAAACCUCAAUAAUGAAACAGAUUCAAUUUCCAUCACCCAGUGAGACACCAUGGGAUUAGAAUAAAUUUUUAAAAAAACAAAUUGAAAAAAAUGCAUUUUUAAAACAACAAAAUCAGAAAGGAUGAAAGGUGAUAUUUCUAGCAUAUCAGUUUGUGGUGGUAAAUUAAUUACCUUAUACAAAGGCCUCAGUGACUUUCUUCUCCUUACCUAACGAAUCAUCUUUAAAAUAAGUAAAAUAAAGAAACAAGAGCAGCAGCAGAUGCUUCCUAAAAAGAAGUUACCAAAUCUGUUCACCACAAACCUGAGAAUUCAACUGUGGACAUUUGGACACCAGCAAUGAACAUGAAACUCAGCUUAUGAGGCAUAUUUGGCUAAAGGUCAAGGUGACUUAAAGUUCAUCAUAGGACAUCUACAAUUUGCAAAGCAGGUGACUGGAUAUGGACUCCUUCCAAGUCUCAUUUAAUUGGAUAAUGCCUACGUUUUAAGUAUCAGAAGUGAGUCUUUCUCUAUUAAAUGAAGUCAGUUCCACUAAAACCUAAAUCUUGUUUGGCAGGCACUCCAUGUUUCUUAAUUUUUAUUCCAUGCUGUAUAUUCUUUUAGACUUGAUUUUCACUUUUUUUUCUUUUUUCCUGUACAUUUAUCUUUGCUGUGAAACAAAGUGCCCUGCUUUGAAGGACAGGUUUGUGGGCUGCUGGUGGUGAGACAACAGCAGUCCUUCCAAGUCUUCCUCCCAUCACUCUGUUAGCUCUCCCUUUGUUUUUAAUUAGCAUUACACCAGUUAAUUCUGUUAUCUCUUAACCCUGGUUCUGCAUCCUCUUCUUCUUUUCUAUUCCUUACUCCGCUCCUGUUUUUUCUUGUUCUGCUUUUCCAAGAAAUGUCUUGUCUCCUCAUCAGUUGACUGUCUUCUCUUUCCAGAGGGACCAUAAAGGUGCCAGCCUAAGGAACACGUAAAACGUGGGAACAGACAAACAAGCUGCUGCCUAUUACAGAGAUAGAUAAUUAACUUUGGACCAUUACAUGCAAUUCAUCAGCUUAUCUUUUUCAAACUUUAUAUAAGAAGUCAUUUCCCAAUGGUAACCACUUGCCAGCUGCAACUUUGACGCAUAUUAUCAGGAUAGGUGAGAUUGAUGGGGGCCCUUUGAACUCUUCCCAGGGAAUUAUCUUUAUAAUGUUACAGUUUUCUCUAUAGCAUGGUCAUAUUGUUAACAUUGGUUAUAAGGUC